AAUUGGUUUAUAACAAUAUCACAGUGCGGAAUGUAAAUUUAAACAUUACUGUGACUUGAAAUUUUAUGUUAUUAUCCUAAUUAAGGAUGAAAGAUACCUUAAAUGAUGUGAUAAUUUUUAUAGAAUGGAAUAUAAAUCUCGAGCAAGCCCAGAACAGUUUGCAGCUUUAUUGGAAUUCAUGGAAAGUUAUGGCGAUAUAACGAGGCCCCAUCAAGAGCUCUAAGGCCGAAUUAAAGCUGACCGACUGUAGCGGGAAUUAGAAGAAUUGUUAAACGCCAUAGGUAGAGGAGUAGUAAAGCAAACAGACAAAUGAAAAAAACAACAACAUCAGUAUUUACUGCCCCUUCUUCACUGCCACUUCCUCCACCACCAUUGCUCACGCACAGGCCGGGUUCAAACACCCUUCGAACGAACCAAAAGCGAGUUUGUGGCUGUUGAGAAUCGCCGGCUGCAAUUAGAGGUAAACUGGAAAAGAAAUAACUAUCAGAGGGACUGGAAAGGCUACGAUUGGAAUCGAGAAGAAUUGAAAUAGAAGAAAACCAUAAUCAAAUUUUAAGUCAUUUAGCUAAUACUGUAGACAAAUUGCUAGAAAUUUUACCGCAGUUGAGACCAUCAUCAGUUCAACAGAUAUUCCAUAAAAUGUCUGAUGUAGUAAUAGUGGUCUCAGCUGUGGGAUAUGAACAUUUCAAAUUGCCUACAAUAUUAGUUUUUUUUAUUUUUUUUUUACUUUAUCAUUUUAUUUCUUUCGAUUAGUAUAAAUGAUCUUUUUGUUGUAGUAUAAUAUUUGUUGUGUAAACAACAUCCUAAUUUUUAAUUUAACCCUUAGCCCACCAGUGGAACAUUCACAGGCUGUUACUAUUAUUUAUUUAAUAUCUGAGUAUAUUACAUUCAAAAUACAAUUAACUGGACCUGUUCAAAAGACAAACAAUAUCUUAUUAUUAAUAUUUAUAUAAGAUAAAUUAAAUGUAGAGUACAGAAAAAUUUCAAUUUAUAAUUAGGAAAUGUAAAAUAAAAUCUUAUUAAAGCUUAAAAUAAUCUUACUAUAUCCUAUUCAAUAAGCAACUCAGCAUGGCUCUUCCUUGGAUUACUUCACUUUGGCUACCUACAGACACAGAGAGUGUGGGAUUUUGCAUGAUUAAUAUAAUCAUGCAAAAUCCCCAUUAUCAUGUGCAGCAGGAAGUGGUUGUGGUGGUGGCAAGCCAACUUGCAAAGCUAUAUUAUUUAACACACAACAUGCCAUUGUAAUGUUACUAGCUACAUGAGGAUGACAGUGCAUAACCCUGUCUUUAAGCAAACAUCUCCACCAUGCUUUGAGUAAUCCAAAACAGAGCACAAUACAGUUACGGCUUUGCACAUGCAUUUGAGUGUAUCGGUCUUCCCUAGAACCUUGAACUGCAUUGAGGAUAGGUGUCAUAAGCCAAGGGCGAUGCGGAU